rnacentral:rRNA from 1 species
CUCGUAGGCGGUUCGGCAAGUCGGAUGUGAAAUCUCCACGCUUAACGUGGAGGGGCCAUUCGAAACUGCCGUGACUCGAGUCCGGUAGGGGAGUGUGGAAUUCCUGGUGUAGCGGUGAAAUGCGCAGAUAUCAGGAGGAACACCAGUAGCGAAGGCGGCACUCUGGGCCGGUACUGACGCUGAGGAGCGAAAGCGUGGGGAGCGAACA